GUAAGUGCCUAUGUUAACUUCUCGUUGGCCAUUUUUCCCCUUUUCUCCCACCCCUACUAUACACCCGCCCUCUCUUUUACUUUUGGCUUAAUUAUUAAAAAUGCCUAUUGUUUGAAAAUUAGCACUUAAUUCUAAGAUUUACUAAUAAACAAGCACUUUUGUCCCUAAUUAUAUAAUUAUGAAGUUUUUCACUACUUUAGUCCUUAAUGUUUUAAAUUAGAUUCUAUUUUGGUCCCUAAAGUUUGAACUUUAG
rnacentral:misc_RNA from 1 species